rnacentral:lncRNA from 1 species
GGUUCGUCUCAGUCACUACAGGACCCUGGGGGGCUGUUGCCACCUCCGCCGGGGGCGAGGAGUCGCUUAAGUGCGAGGACCUCAAAGUGGGACAAUAUCCUCUGUGGAGAACACCCCCCCAUGGAGGCGAGGGUCUUACUCUGUCGCCCUGGCUGGAGUACAGUGGCACGAUCUCAGCUCACUGCAGCCUCCGCCUCCCGGGUUCAGUCAAUUCUCCUGCCUCAGCCUCCUGAGUAGCUGGGACUACAGGCAUGCGCCACCACACCCGGUUUCCUGUUUUCCAGCACCCAACAUAACUUGUAAGGAUUCCAGUGGCAAUGAAACACAUUUUACUGGGAACGAAGUUGGUUUUUUCAAGCCCAUAUCUUGCCGAAAUGUAAAUGGCUAUUCCUACAAAGUGGCAGUCGCAUUGUCUCUUUUUCUUGGAUGGUUGGGAGCAGAUCGAUUUUACCUUGGAUACCCUGCUUUGGGUUUGUUAAAGUUUUGCACUGUAGGGUUUUGUGGAAUUGGGAGCCUAAUUGAUUUCAUUCUUAUUUCAAUGCAG